GGCCCAUUGGCUCAGUUGGUUAGAGCGUCGUGCUAAUAAUACGAAGGUUGCAGGUUCGAGACCUGCAUGGGCCA